GAUGAACGCUAGCGAUAGGCUUAACACAUGCGAGUCGAGGGGCAGCACAAGGUAGCUUGCUAUCUGGGUGGCGACCGGCGCACGGGUGCGUAACGCGUAUGCAACUUGCCCUAUACAGGAGGAUAACCCGUCGAAAGACGGACUAAUACUGCGUAUGCUCACAACUUGGCAUCAAGUGGUGAGGAAAGAAAUUCGGUAUAGGAUAGGCAUGCGUCCCAUUAGCUUGUUGGUGAGGUAACGGCUCACCAAGGCAACGAUGGGUAGGGGAACUGAGAGGGUUAUCCCCCACACUGGUACUGAGACACGGACCAGACUCCUACGGGAGGCAGCAGUGAGGAAUAUUGGUCAAUGGGCGCGAGCCUGAACCAGCCAAGUCGCGUGAAGGAUGACUGUCUUAUGGAUUGUAAACUUCUUUUAUACGGGAAUAACAAGAGUCACGUGUGACUCCCUGCAUGUACCGUAUGAAUAAGCAUCGGCUAACUCCGUG
rnacentral:rRNA from 1 species